CACUCGGGCGAGCCGCCGCCGCGCAGUCGUCCGCUAGGUGGGGGGAUCCGGCCGCGGCGGCGCGCCGCGCUCCCUGCGGCUGAUUGACGGCUUUCCGGAUGCAAAAUCCGAAAGCUAUGAAUAGCGUGCGAGAGAAACGUAGGACAGGAGCGCAUAGAGAGCCCCGGCUGGGGGGAGGCGGCGAACAGGAUAUUAACGGUAGAAGUGGUGUUCGAAGCACAUGCCCUGGCCAAUUGGGAGCAGUUGUCUAAAUCCGCGGCCCUUCAGAUGAUGCCACCCUGGGCAGUCGCCCUUGCCAGGAUCCAUCAAUGGUUAUUUAUACCUUUUGUAACCAUAUAUUCGUGGUUUAUCCUGUCCAGCACUAUACAUGGCCUUUUUUAAAAAAUCACUGAAAGAUCUUGCCCUGCCCCUUUUCCAGGUAGGAGCAGGUAGGGUGACAGUGUGGCGUGUGAGUAACCGCCUAUCAGAAUGAACGUACUUUAAACCCAGAGCCCCAUUGGCUCUCUUUGGCUUCCCUUAACAACGUGUCUCUAGUUUAGGACAUCUCCAGCCUCCAUGGAGAA